GCAUUAAUGGGGUAGUGGUAACCUGGGUCGUUGCCAUCGGACAUCGCGAAAUUGGAUACUCGACCCGCCGGGAGUUCAAUUCUCUCUUAAUGCA